rnacentral:rRNA from 1 species
AUUGAACGCUAGCGGCAUGCCUUACACAUGCAAGUCGAACGGACCGGCGGACGGGUGAGUAAUACCAAUGAAUCUGCCUGGGAGUGGGAGCUAGCGUCCGGUAACGGGCGCUAAUACCGCUUCCUAUCACAUUAGCCUCGGUCGGAUUAGCUAGGUGGAGGGGUAAAGGCCGACAAAGGCGACGAUCCGUAACUGGUCUGAGAGGAUGAUCAGUCACACUGGAACUGAGACACGGUCCAGACUCCUACGUGAGGCAGCAGUGGGGAAUAUUGGACAAUGGGCGAAAGCCUGAUCCAGCCAUGCCGCGUGUGUGAAGAAGGUCUUCGGAUUGUAAAGUACUUUAAGUUGGGAGGCGUUACCAACAGAAUAAGCACCGGCUAACUUCGUGCCAGCAGCCGCGGUAAUAC